rnacentral:lncRNA from 1 species
GGAUGUUCCGCCUCUCUCUACAGUUUCUCUCGGUUCCGACGACGCACGACUGCUCCCCUCCCCACCGGUGCUCGUCUGCGAUACGAUCGGGCUUCUCUCGUUCGUUAUUUGAUUUGCUUUUUCUUUUUUCUCAUCCAUAGUUUUUGAGUAGUCUUAAUGCUUCAUUUAAGUCUGCAUUCGAUCUUUAGUCCUUAAUUCGCUGGAUCGAUCGAUUCAUUUGGUUUGGAGCGCUUGAGGUUUCUUGAUGUUUCUUGGUUAAUUUGUUGGAUUUUGAGUUAUCGUCGGUGGAUACAGAGUGAUCUCGGAUUCUUGACGAAUUCGUCAAUUAUUUAUCUUCUACAAGGAUUUCUGCACUUUUCAGAAUCUGGAACUAUGUGUUCUUCUUUGAGGUUUUCCAUUUGAUCUUUCGUAGCUAAAUCGCUGGAUUUGGGUUAUCUUUGGUUGAUCACUUGAUUUUGCGAUUUUAUUCUCUCUAUGGAACGAAUCAAAUACAAUAAUUCCCAAAGAAAUUAUUGUGGCAAUAGAUAUUAUUUCGUAAGUCGAGUUUCUGUUUGGUUAAGUUGGACUUCUAUGGGACCUAAAAGCUAGAGAGAUUUGUACAGUAGGAACAAAGUGGCUUAUUCAAUGUCUCAGAUAUAGUGUUCUUCGUUUCGUUUCCUCAUGAAAUGAAUUAAUAGGAAGCAACUUCAGAAACUUCAGAUGCUCCUGUAUCACAUGAGCAUGUCCACAUGAUGAAAUAGGAAAAAGAACUACUCUCUUAUUAAAUGAUUAUUUUGUCCCAGUACAGCAUAUUUGUGAUCAAUCACAGCACAACAGAUUUUCUUCCAAGAAUUUUUUUUGAAACUCUUCACUGCAAUUGAUGAGGUUAAGGCACAAAAUUAAAUAGUUAUUCUCUACAUGCAUGCUUUCAUAUGCAUGGUUAUUCUCAAGACCUCAUUAUGAGUUCACAACACUACAUUUCUUCCUAAUCUCUCCAUUUGUCCCAGUUAGUACUUCAAUUGUUCCCAUCCUUUUUAUUGAAUUUUUGAAUGCAUUGAAAAAGUUUGUGGUGUCGAGCAUCUUGUCUAUAAUGUUGGCUGAACAUUGGUCGGUUAGGAGAGCAGCAUCAGAUUGGAACAUUCCUUGAUGUAACUUCAAGUUCUCGUAGUAAUGGGUGUCGAAAGUAAGGCUACUUCCAGGGUCCAUAGGUACUGUGGUGGUGUUAUCAGAUAAACUCUUACAUUGGGUCUUCAAGAAUGCUGCAUAAGUUGCAUUGAGAGAUGGAUCGGCAUCGCCCUUCCCGGUGAAGUUGUACAGUCGAUUGCUGAAAAAAUUGCAAUGUCCUAUUCCGAUGGUGUGUGCACCUGCCCAAUUACAGAAAUUGAAAAAUUUCUACAAUAUGAUCGACUAAAUUUUUUGAUGCAUUGCCAUAAACAAGAAACCAAUUUAUUGAUCUUAGGUGGGAUUUAGGUUGGAGUUGUUUUAGAAUGCACAAGAAUAAAACCGCAAGCCUUUGACUGGCAUGUAUUGAGAUAUUAGACUGAUGAGCUUACCAAUGGGCAAGUCUUUUUAUAAUAUAAGUAGGUACUCGUGAAGCAUGAUUAUAAAAUUUUAUUGUUUUGUGAUUAAAGGCAGAUGUUAUGUAGUGUUCCUUAUUAUCAAGCUGGGCUAUAUGGAAGAAGAAAAGAAUUAAGUUUCAGGUUUGAUGGCCCAUUUUUAGCCAGUGUAAUAUGGUGGAGAAUUUGGUUGUUAAGGAAUAAAAAGUUUUUUCAAACUAUCUCUAAUCUAGUGGAAAAUAUCAUCAGGGAGAUAAAGUUUCAUUGGACCAAAUGAUCCUCGGUCACUCCUACAACAUUUGUUGAGAACUGUUUUUUCUUAAGAUUAAUUGUAUGCAAUGUAACCCAUUUUGUCUGAAAAAUAAACAGAGAGAUGACAUUUUUAGCUUUAAUAGUUGUUCCAUUCUGAACUUACCAUGACGUACUUCUUGUUAGAAAGUUUUCCUACUAAGGUAGAGCCAUUAUAAUUGUUAUGAGCAAUAGUGAGAUACUACAUUCUCAUGUAUGAGAAAAAGUUAGCAAAUUACAUAUGAAACCUCAGUUAGAUGAGAAAAACUAAUAUUUUAGAUAAUUCCAUGUGUCCUUGACAUAUCCAACACCUAAUGUUCACUCUUUAAUGUUAAGGGGCAAAUUAUGUCCUUUGAGAGAUGAGACCACCAUGAGGACAGACUCCCAUCUUAAAAUUUUAUACUAGUGAUAUGGAAAUUAUAGUGGUCACAAUUUUAAACUGUGGUUCUAGCCUUAUCUCAAUUUGAUCAUCUAUCAAGUGAGGCUCGAUCCUACCUUGGAUCUUCCCCAUUAACAACUUGAACUGACUUCAGAACCUAACUUUUUCCCUAGAAAUAUCAGUUGCAUCUGAUCAAUCACUUGGCUUUGUUUGGUGAUGAAAUUAGGUAGAAUUCUUUUCUUUUCGAGUUUCUGUAUUCAAACUCACCUUGACCAAAUGAUUUUUAUUUCAAUAAGUUUGGUUCUUUUCAUCAUCAAAGUCGCUUUUGUUUCCCAUAGUGCUGAAAUCUAUAAACAGAAAAAAAAAAAAAGAAUCAAAUUGCACCAUCUCAGGUAUAGGUAAAUGACCUUUUUUCCCCCAUAAUACAGUUAUUAGAUGUAUGUUAAUGUUGUAAUGUUGAAAGGCUCCCCAUCAAUCAGAUCUGUUUUGAGCAAAAAUUUGGUAUCCUGGUAGAACAUAUUCCAAAACUAAGUAGGAUGAUAGAGUAGCUUCUUUGACUUUGCUGAGAUGCUGUCUUUCCAUUAUUCCUCAGUUUUGUUGGCACGAUGAAUCUUACAGGAAAAUUACUAAGAAGUUCUUAGAUUUAACAGGAGAAUUCUGAAAAAAAAUAAGCAACUGUUCUUGCAAUGUCAUUAUCUUAUAACAAUCUCUCUGAUUUUUUGUUAUUGAUCAUCAUGAUAGAAAUAACAAACUUGUAAUUCAGUCCAGCCUUUGACCAGAUAUUUUUGAAAAAUUACUAAAAAGUUCUUAGAUUUCAUAAGAGAAUUCUGAGGAACAGGAGAGAGGCCACAAGCCCCCCUCAAAUGUAUAGGCGAAUUCUAAAAAAUUCAACUAAAGUUUCAGUAAUGUCCUUAUCACAUAAUGACCACUAGGAGUUUCUCUCAUUGAUUAUUAUGAUAAAACUAACAGUUUGUAGUUACUCAGUCCAACCUUUGACUAGAUAAUUUGGGAACAAUAUAAAAUUAUGAGCAUUAUAACGAUUACCAUUUCCCUUCUAAAGGAAAUGCUUUAUAAAGACAUUUCUGUGGCCAUGAUCUACAGAGGACCCAGUAAGAAGAGACAUUGGAAUCUUAUCAAAAGAUUAAGAACAACAACAAAUAUAUAUCUUAACAUAACAGGUCCCUCCAAAACUAUUAUGACAGCUGUUAUGAGUUAUGACAUUGUAGUAACGUUAUUCUAAAACAUUAAUGCACUGAGGACUAAAGAAUGCUGAAACAGAGCCUAAGGUUCAUUUCUAGGCAGCUGUGUCUUUUUACUGAAAAAGGUGAGUGGAUCAUAACAAAGCACCAGAACAUGCUUAAUAUAAUUGAACAACUAAAAUGACUGCCAAUUCUUUAGCUAAUUGCUUCCAUAAUGUAAUACCUGACAGGACGACGAGAUCUUCGACAUCAAGAGUCUUGUUUGUGAAUCUAUUGGCGAGAGUUGUGAAGUUAGAGAAGGGUGAAGGGAUGUUGGCACGGGCCUCUGAUGCAAGGGAAAUGGUGCCAUCCCUCCUGCCGGUCUGAACUUCCCAUAAAGACCUGUUAAACUGCCAAUGGAUACCUUGGUUCAGAUACCAAUCACAGAAGAUCUAUGACAUGAGGUAGUUUGCUUCUUUCUUUUUGUGCAGAAAAAGUUUGCUACUUACUUGGAAGGAGACUGAGUCCCUCGCAGCCAAUGCAAUUAUAUCGGCGCAGGAGACGGUGUCGGGGCAAGUUUUCUCUAAUGCUGUCUUCACCUCAUCAAUGACAUCGAAGCCUGCUAGUGAUAAGUUUGGAGCGGCAUCCUUCUCAGCAGUACUGUUUGCAGUUGAGUUAAUAAGAACUGAAGCAUCACAGCCCUAUAUGCAUCAAGAACAAGGAUCUAGUAAGUAGAAUAGCCUUAGCUACGUAAAGGAUUGUAUAAGUUUAAGACUACAUCUAUAGAAGAGAAGUGGUGUUGUUUACAUGCAUUGAAUAAAUCUUCAUGCUAUGAUACAUUGAAUUUGGUGACACUAAAGAUUAUGAUCAAUUUAU